CCUUACACAUGCAAGUCGAACGGUAACAGGUCUUCGGAUGCUGACGAGUGGCGAACGGGUGAGUAAUACAUCGGAACGUGCCCGAUCGUGGGGGAUAACGGAGCGAAAGCUUUGCUAAUACCGCAUACGAUCUACGGAUGAAAGCGGGGGAUCUUCGGACCUCGCGCGGACGGAGCGGCCGAUGUCUGAUUAGCUAGUUGGUAGGGUAAUGGCUUACCAAGGCGACGAUCAGUAGUUGGUCUGAGAGGACGACCAGCCACACUGGGACUGAGACACGGCCCAGACUCCUACGGGAGGCAGCAGUGGGGAAUUUUGGACAAUGGGCGCAAGCCUGAUCCAGCAAUGCCGCGUGAGUGAAGAAGGCCUUCGGGUUGUAAAGCUCUUUCAGUUGAGAAGAAAAAGUCGUGACUAAUAAUCAUGAUUCAUGACGGUAUCAACAGAAGAAGCACCGGCUAACUACGUGCCAGCAGCCGCGGUAAUACCGUAGGGUGCAAGCGUUAAUCGGAAUUACUGGGCG
rnacentral:rRNA from 1 species